UAGGGUACGAACCGGUAGGAUCGUCCUGACUCUCAUCUAAGGGCAAAGCCCAGAUUUCCACAAUAAUUGUAAAGGGUCACCAACUGAAAUUAACAGAUAACACAUAACAUUUAAGUUUUAAAUGCACAAAAUAACCUUUCAACUAAGCAUGCACCUUAAAAGGAUUUUCCAUAUGCUAAAAGUUCAUAUAAUGCUUGCCAAUUAACAAUGAACUCAAAAUGAAGUUCUCAAACCAUCAAGUAACAAUAAACUCAAAAUGAAGUUCUCAAACCAUCAAGUAAUACAUAACUGACCAAAGCAUUGAUAAAUCAAUUGAGCAAUCGAUUAUCUAACUCAAAAUAAGGACUUUUGUUGAGCCAAUCGAUUGCCAAAUCAAUUUGGUCAGUUCUGCUGAGUUUCUGCAUGACCAAAUCGAUUUCUAAGUCGAUUUUGUCAGUUCUGAUGAGUCCCUGUGUUGCCAAAUCGAUUUCCAAAUCGAUUUGGGCAGUUUUGCUGAGUUCCUGCCUCUCUGCCAAUCGAUUUCCAAAUCGAUUUCUUAAAAGAUUUUGAAAGACAUAUUUAUACAAUCGAUUGGCAAAUCGAUUAGGUCAAAAUGGUGAACUUCCUGCAACUCAUCCAAUCGAUUGGGAAAUCGAUUUCCCUCAUCAUUUUUCCAAAAAUUCAUAACUAACUCAAUCACAUUCAUACAUAAUCUCAAAUCCUAACACUUAGCACUGAUAACGCAAUCGCUACAACAUCAUUAGUUUCGAAAUAGUAUUGCAAGCAAACAUGUUAUCACCAAAUUCCAAAACAUAACACUUAACAUUUAUAACACAAUUAAUACAACAUCAUGGGUUUCAAAAUGGUAUAGCAAUCCAACAUGUUAUCACCAAAUUCCAAAACAUAACACUUAACAUUUAUAACACAAUCAAUACAACAUCAUGGGUUUCAAAAUGGUAUAGCAAUCCAACAUGUUAUCACCAAAUUCCAAAACAUAACACUUAUAACACAAUUACUACACAUACCAAAUGAACCAACAAUUCACAAUUUAACAGGGUGUAGUCUCUCACGGACAAACACCUGUGCAGUCUCUCACGGACAAACACAAUUCCCUCAGGAACGUAACUCGUAAACGUACCACCUAUCACGGGUCAGUACUGUUUACCGAGGUGCCACCUAUCCCGGGUCUGCACAACUUACCAAACGUAAAUCGUAAACGUACUGUCUAUCACGGACCCGUACCGUUUACCAAGGUGCCACCUAUCACGGGUCUGCACGAUUUACCAAAACAUACAUAAGUAAACGAGACAUUAAGAGAUUCCCCAUUCUUAAUUCUCAUCUAACUUAAACCAGGGCGUAGUCUCUCACGGACAAACCCCUGCGCAGUCUCUCACGGACAAACGCAAUUCCCGCAGGAACGUAAAUUGUAAACGUACUACCUAUCCCGGGUCCGUACUGUUUACCGAGGUGCCACCUAUCCCGGGUCAGCACAACUUACCAAAACAUACACGAGUAAACGAGACAUUAAGAGAUUCCCCAUUCUUAAUUCUCAUCUAACUUAAACCAGGGCGUAGUCUCUCACGGACAAACCCCUGCGCAGUCUCUCACGGACAAACGCAAUUCCCGCAGGAACGUAAGUCGUAAACGUACUACCUAUCACGGGUCCGUACCGUUUACCGAGGUGCCACCUAUCCCGGGUCUGCACAACUUACCAAACACAAUUCCCUCAGGAACGUAAGUCGUAAACGUACUACCUAUCACGGGUCCGUACUGUUUACCGAGGUGCCACCUAUCCCGGGUCUGCACAACUUACCAAACACAAUUCCCUCAGGAACGUAAGUCGUAAACGUACUACCUAUCACGGGUCCGUACCGUUUACCGAGGUGCCACCUAUCCCGGGUCAGCACAACUUACCAAAACAUACACGAGUAAACGAGACAUUAAGAGAUUCCCCAUUCUUAAUUCUCAUCUAACUUAAACCAGGGCGUAGUCUCUCACGGACAAACCCCUACGCAGUCUCUCACGGACAAACGCAAUUCCCGCAGGAACGUAAGUCGUAAACGUACUACCUAUCACGGGUCCGUACCGUUUACCGAGGUGCCACCUAUCCCGGGUCAGCACAACUUACCAAAACAUACACGAGUAAACAAGACAUUAAGAGAUUCCCCAUUCUUAACGCCCAGUUAACUUAAACAAUUUUCCAAACAAAAUAAUAAGUAACCGAGACAUUAAGAGAUUCCCCAUUCUUAACGCCCAGUUAACUUAAACGGUUUUCAAAACAAAAUGUUAAGUAACCGAGACAUUAAGAGAUUCCCCAUUCUUAACGCCCAGUUAACUUAAACAAUUUUCCAAACAAAAUAACAAGUAACCGAGACAUUAAGAGAUUCCCCAUUCUCAACGCCCAGUUAACUUAAACAAUUUUCAAAACAAAAUAAUAAGUAACCGAGACAUUAAGAGAUUCCCCAUUCUUAACGCCCAGUUAACUUAAACGAUUUUCAAAACAAAAUAUUAAGUAACCGAGACAUUAAGAGAUUCCCCAUUCUCAACGCCCAGUUAACUUAAACAAUUUUCCAAACAAAAUAAUAAGUAACCGAGACAUUAAGAGAUUCCCCAUUCUUAACGCCCAGUUAACUUAAACGAUUUUUCUUUAAAACAAAAUAUUAAGUAACCGAGACAUUAAGAGAUUCCCCAUUCUUAACGCCCAGUUAACUUAAACGAUUUUUCUUUAAAACAAAAUAUUAAGUAACCGAGACAUUAAGAGAUUCCCCAUUCUUAACGCCCAGUUAACUUAAACGAUUUUCAAAACAAAAUAUUAAGUAACCGAGACAUUAAGAGAUUCCCCAUUCUUAACGCCCAGUUAACUUAAACGAUUUUCAAAACAAAAUAUUAAGUAACCGAGACAUUAAGAGAUUCCCCAUUCUUAACGCCCAGUUAACUUAAACGAUUUUCAAAACAAAAUAUUAAGUAACCGAGACAUUAAGAGAUUCCCCAUUCUUAACGCCCAGUUAACUUAAACGAUUUUUCUUUAAAACAAAAUAUUAAGUAACCGAGACAUUAAGAGAUUCCCCAUUCUUAACGCCCAGUUAACUUAAACGAUUUUUCUUUAAAACAAAAUAUUAAGUAACCGAGACAUUAAGAGAUUCCCCAUUCUUAAUACUCAUUUAACUUAAUGGUUUUCAAAUUCCACACAAAAAAACUCAAACAAAUUCUCACAUUCAAUUCAUAAUUCACACCAAAACACAUCAAUCAACAAACAUCAAGUAUGAACAUGCCAAAUACGAUGAACACAAAUCAACAUAAUAAAUUUCAUUUAUUCAAAAUCUUACAUACAUGAGGUAAAAUCAUUUUUCCCAAAACAAUACUCCAAUCCUAACACAAUUCGUUUCCACACAACCACAGAUAAGGCCCUAGAUGCAAACUAAAAGUUUGGAAGGAGCCCUUACCUUAACGUUAGCUCAAACGUGCGUUUCCGGUACCGUGAGUAAAUCCGGUAAAUUUUCCGCUCGCAACACCGCUUCCAAAACUGGUCCACUAGCGCCGUAGCACGGUAGUGAGCAACUUUCCCUUCUAACUCUUCGCGAAAUGAAGCUUGGAUCUAGAAGAAACGAAGGGGUUUGUGUUUGAAUCUCAAAUACCGUUUUUCUUCGUUUUCGGAUCAAAGAGGAAGAGUGGAGUUGCGAAACCUUUGUUCUAACACUCACCCAACCUUGGGUUACUAGUCUUGAAGAAAAGAAAGCAACGAAAAUGAAAAUGGGAGAAGGAGGGAAAAUGGGUCGCGCACGCAGGGAGAGGAAGAAGAUGAAGUUUUGGAUUUUCUUUCCUUCCUUUUUCCUUUCUUUGUUUUUCCUUCCUUUCUAUUUCCUUCUUUCCUUUAUAUAACCUUUUCUCUUCCUUUUCCUUCCUUCUAAUUUUCUUUCUUUCUAUUCUCUCCAAACAGUUUAUGCAAAUCUACCUUAUGAUAUUUUCUCAUGUUCCUUGGAGGAUGUGGAAUUUCUUGAGGUAGUCCAAAUUGUAGUUUCACUCUAUUAGUUUGAUGCAUUUCUAUUAGGUAGAAACAAAUUAAAUAUGUAGAUGCAUUCCAUAGGCAAUUGUCUUCUGGAUGAUCGUAUGUUAGACCUAGAUAUGGCCUCCAAAUAAACUGAUAUAUAACAAGUUUGUUAGUAAUAUAUGCAUAAGAAAAGUAAAAUAAUAAAAAUAAUGUAAUGUUUUAAUAUAUUACAUCGUUAACGGUCAUGUGAUCAAUUUUUUAUAGAUAUCCAGCGGUAUGAUAACGAGGUGUAUCGCCAAAUUUCAUACCCUUUCCACUAUAUCUACGAAAAUAAAUUUGAAUGUUAGUAAAUAAAUUAAUAUAUUUAUAAAUAUAAUAUUUAACUUUUUUUUAUAUUAACCUUUUUGAGAAUGGAAAAUGAGGCUCAAAAUUACUUAUUGGUGCAAGAAACGGCAUAUGGUACCAUGCCCACGUUUGAAGUAGAUGUGAACAUCCCCGAUCGACAUAACACCGGGUUCAGAUGCACGACACAAUUCUCUAUAAAGUGUUGCCAAGCAUGCUGAACCCCAACUAUAUUGUCCUGUCUCUCGCAAAUCUCUCAACAAGUGCAACCACAUAAUAUGUACUCUGUUGUGAGAUUUGUAAGGCAUUAAUAUGCCGCCAAUCAAUUCUAAAAUGCAUGCUCUACAAUGUGACUUAGAGUUUCUGAGUUUUAUUAUUAUGUAUUUUCUUCAAAGAACACUUACAGGUUUUCUCUGUAUUUCUAGUUUAAGGCUUGGAUACUCAUUAUGGUUUGUUUAAGGUGUUCUGGCUUGGAUACUCACAAUUUUUUUUCAACUGUGAUUAAAAUUUAAUUUUAAUUACAUUGCAUCUAAUCUUAAUAAUUUGGUUUCUAAUUUAAAAUGUAUUCUAUGUGCAGGUUUAUGGCUGAAAUUAAUUUUAUUUGUGAGUUGAAGUGAUAUGGAGUACCAUUGAAGGCUUAAAUCUUGUUAUGUUGAUUUAUGGUCUCAUAAAUUAAUUUUACAUCUUUUUGAUUAUUAAACUCCAAAAUAUUAUUAACUUUGGCUUAAAAACCUCCGAGCCAAAAUCCAAAAUACACCAAAAAUACAUAAAUGGUACUUUAAAAUUAUGGGUCUUACAUUACUCCCCCCCUAAAAUUAGUUUCGUCCUCGAAACUAUGCAUCGAUAAAUAACUCUGGGUGUUGUUCUCUCAUCUUGCUCUCCAAUUCCCAAGUCGCAUCUCCAGUGAUUGGGUUCCAAAUAACCUUGACCAACGAAACAUCCUUGGUCCUCAACCGCUUAAUCUUCCUAUCAUCAAUUCUCACGGGUGGUACUUCGAACGACAGGUUAUCCUUUAGCUGGAUUGCGUCUGGUUCGAUCACGUGAGAUGGAUCUGCGAGAUAUUUCCUCAACUGUGACACAUGAAACACGUCAUGAAUAUUGGACAGUAUCGGAGGUAAUGCAAUGCGAUAAGCCACCGGCCCAAUUCGUGCAGAAAUCUGAUAUGGUCCAAUGAAUUUCGGAGUCAACUUCUUCGAUUUCAAGGCUCUACCUACUCCAGUAGUAGGUGUGACUCUCAGAAAUACAUGGUCACCCUGUUCGAAUUCCAAAAGUCUGCGACGCUUGUCCACGUAACUCUUCUGACGAUCUUGUGAAGUCUUCAUUUUCUCCUUGAUCUUCCUUACUUUAAUUGUGGUAUGUUGCACCAUCUCUGGUCCGACAAUCAUAUUCUCACCGUCUUUAUACCAACACAAGGGCGUUUGACACUUGCGCCCAUAUAAAGCUUCAUAUGGUGCCAUUCCAAUACUUGCGUGGAAACUAUUGUUGUAAGUGAACUCAAUCAACGGAAGUACAUCAUCCCAGCUUCCCCUAUCAUCUAAUACACAUGCUCUCAACAGAUCUUCCAAGGACUGAUUCGUCCUUUCAGUCUGUCCGUCCGUUUGUGGAUGGUAAGCUGAACUCAAUCGUAGCUUCGUUCCCAACGCUUCGUGCAAUGCUCCCCAAAAAUGCGAUGUGAACUUCGGAUCACGGUCUGAUACAAUGCUCGAUGGUACCCCGUGUAACCUCACAAUUUCAGCAAUGUAGAUCUCCGUUAGCUGAUCUACCUUAUAGGUGGUCCUUACCGGCAAAAAGUGAGCAGAUUUAGUCAGCCGGUCCACUAUCACCCAUAUAGAAUCAUUCUUCCUCCUUGUCUUCGGUAAUCCGGUUAUAAAAUCCAUGGAAAUGCUGUCCCACUUCCAUUCAGGUAUAUCUAAAGGUUGCAACAUUCCAGCAGGUCGCUGAUGUUCCACCUUCGCUUUCUGACAAGUUAGACAAGUGGAUACAUAUUCCGCCACAUGUUUCUUCAUUCCUGGCCACCAAUAAUUCUGCCUCAAAUCCUGAUACAUCUUUGUUGCUCCAGGAUGAAUACUCAGCUUACUCUUAUGCGCCUCUUCUAAAAUCGUUUUCCGCAUAUCUGUAAUGGCUGGUACACAAAUCCUACCAUUACACCGCAAAACAUUAUCUGCCCCAAUCUUGAACUCAGUCGUCUUCCCUUGUACUAUUAGAUUCCUCUUCUCUUGAAUUAAGACGUCAUCCUGAGAAUUCGCAAUGUCUUCAAGUAAUCCACUCGAGAUCUUAAUCAUUCCGAAUUUCAAAAUUCCCGGUCCGAACUCUACGUUCAAGUGUAGGUCUCUAAAAGCCUCCUGGUUCGGGGAAAAGAACCAAUUUCCGAGCACAAUCCAAGAUCACAUAGUGAUAAGACAUCCAAUCCAUACCGAGGAUGACCUCGAGUGAUUGUAGCGGUAAACAAAUUAGAUUAACCAAGAAAUCCCUAUUCUGAAUAGUCAUUCGACAAUGUAAACAUGCUGAAUUUACGGUUAAGGUCUUAGCAGGCGUGGAAACAACCAAAUCAAAAGGUAAAGCAGACACAGAUAACUUCAAGCGAUUCACACAGUCCAUAGCAAUGAAGGAAUGGGUUGCCCCCGAAUCAAAGAGUGCAGUUAGAGUGUUACCUGCAAUCUCACAAUCACGCUGAAUCAGAUUACCAGAUGGAUUUCCCUCUUCAGCAUUCACACAAUAAAUGCGUCCUCUAGCAGUAGGACGGGUAGCCCUAGCUACAUUCACCACUGGUUCCACCUUUGGAGCCGUGCACUCCCUUGCCAUGUGCCCCGACUUCUGACAAUUGUGACAGAUGGGGAUGUUAGUGGUACAAGCACUAGCAUAGUGUCCUUCUUUCCCACAUCGGAAACAUCGAAGCACUUGCCCCAUUUGCCUUCCGAAAUUCUGGUUCCCUGGGCGACUCGGUCCACCGUUGUUAUUCUGGGGGCGAUUAUAAGGUUUAGCCACUUGUUUUCCCCUAUUCUGAUAAGUCGCCCGACUAGGGCCUCCCGAAUUAAAAUUCCCAACUCGGCUAGCCCUCUUGUUCUUCAUAUCUUCCACUUCUCUACAUUUCUCUACCAGCGCUUGGAAACGUUGAAUUCCCAAAGGUAAGACGGAAUCUUGAAUCUCAUACUUCAAUCCGUCUUGGAAACGAUGACACAUGAACGGUUCAUCAAUUUCUUCACGGAAGAACCUGAAAUGCCUCGAUAGUGAUUCAAAUUUAGCAGCAUACUCGCCCACAGUCAGGCUCCCCUGGUGAAGUUUCAGAAAGUCGUCACCCAACUUAGUCCUGGUACUCAUCGGAAAGUAUUUGUCUAAAAACUUUCUUUUGAACGAUUCCCAGUUCACCUCCUCGUGGGCUGCUCCCAUCAACAACCUUGCACUCCUCCACCAGUAUUCAGCAUCCCCUAGCAACAUAUACGUGGCAUAGCUGACCUUCACUCCAGCCUGGCAGUUAAUCAUAUCAAAGAUUUUCUCCACUUCUUGGAUCCAUUGAUCCGCCUUCUCUGAACCCUCAUCCCCCUUGAACUUAGGAGGAUUGUAACGACGGAAGUCUUCCAACCCUCUUGAUUCUGCAGCACGGAUCUCUCUUCCCCUCUUUUCAAGAUCCCGUUGAGUCUUGGCAGCGGUCUGUGCAGCGACAGAAGCAGCCAUGUUGUUCAUAGCCUCCGCCAUUUGGUCAUUCCUAGCGUUGGCUCUCGGAGCGUCAUUCCUUCUGGGCGGCAUGGUUUCCUAUAAGAACCAUCAUCAAGUAGAGUUUUAACACUACUUCAAAUAAUUCUAAACUAACGUCCGACUAACAACACACAAUUAAAUUGGACUUGACAACUCAAGUCACCUAAACCGACACAUGAUCAGAUAACAACUCCUAACUUAUAGGUCGACCUACAAUCUAUAACCAAGGUUCCACAGCUCCCAAAGAAAACUAAACCUAUGCUCUGAUACCACAAUGUAACACCCCGUUUUUCAAAGCGAGGGUAUAUUUUUUUUUUUCUAAAAGUAAUUAAAACGAACAAAGAAUAAAUCAGGAAAUGCUUUUGGAUAAAUAAUUGAGUCAUUAUAAUUUACGCAGCGGAAAAGUUUCUCCAAUUAUAAAUCCAAAACAUUUUUACAUAAACAUCAAAUGGUACAUGGGACCCAUUCAAAGAUGAUAUAAAACUGAUAAUAUUUGUAUAAGUACAGUUUUCCAAAACUAAAAUACUCCAAACCAAAAAGAAGGACCCCUAGUCCCUAUACAUCAUCCUAAUCUGAUCAUCCUACCAAAAACUAUACACCCUGAGUAAUCUCCACGCGCCCCGUGAGAUCCUCCUAACACAACAGCAGUCAAGCGUUCCCAUCUCCAUCCCUGUCCGUAGGGUACGAACCAGUAGGGCCGUCCUGACUCUCAUCUGAGGGCAAAGCCCAGAUUUCCACAAUAGUGUAAAGGGUCACCAACCAGAAAAUAACAGUUAACACAUAGCAAUUAAGUUUUUGAAUGCUCAAAACAACUUUUUAACUAAGCAUGCACCUUAACAGGAUUUUCAAUGUGCGAAAAGUUCAUACAUUACAUUGCCAAUGAAAAUGAAGGUAAAAUGCAGUUCUCGAUCUCCUAAUUAACACAUGGUAAAACAAAACAUGGAUAGAUUCAUGAGCAAUUAAUCAUACAACUAAAAAUGAGGAUUUUCACUGAGCCAAUCGAUUGGGCAAUCGAUUGGGGUGAAGAUUUUUAAUGAAAACAGAAUCCUGGGCUGAAUUCAAUCGAUUGGUAAAUCGAUUGAUUGGUUCCUGAGCCCCUGGUUUCGAGCCAAUCGAUUUCCUAAUCGAUUUGGUGAGGGAUUCUUAAUGAAAACAGAAUCCUGGGCUGAAUUCAAUCGAUUGGUAAAUCGAUUGAUUGGUUCCUGAGCCCCUGACUUAAGGCCUAAUCGAUUGGGCAAUCGAUUUCUUAACUGAUUCCUUUGAAAAUUGUUUUCGAAAUCGAUUGGCUAAUCGAUUUUGUUCAUUUGGCCAAGCCCCUGACUUCCAUCCAAUCGAUUGGGAAAUCGAUUUCCCUGAUCAGUUUUCCAAAAAUUCAUGAAUUAACCUAAGUCAUUCCUAAUCAAGUUCACCACUUAACACUUAGCAAUUUCUACGCGAUUACUACGACACACAAAGGUUCGAUAACCAUCAUACUCACACACAAUACACAACACAUAGCACUUAACACCUUCAUCUCAGUUAUCACGAUAAAUCAAAAUUCGAAUCACUCAAUCAUAAACUCAAAUCAAACAUGACUCGCGUGCCAGGCACCCUAAUGCAAUGCGUAUAUGCCAAAAUGCAUGGACUCGGAAUUCCAAACCAAAACCCUCCUCGAAGGGCCGUAAAUCAUAAUUGUACCGCCUAUCGCAGGCCAAAGUACCAAUUACCGAGGUGCCACCUAUCACGGGUCAGCACGAUUUACUAAAAUGCGUAAAUCAUAAACGUACCACCUAUCACGGGUCAGUACAGUUUACCGAGGUGUCACCUAUCACGGGUCAACACGAUUUACUAAAAGAAAAAGCGGGAAUCGUAAAUGUACCACCUAUCACGGGUCAGUACAGUUACCAUGGUGUCACCUAUCACGGGUCAACACGAUUUACUAAAAGAAAAAGCGGGAAUCGUAAAUGUACCACCUAUCACGGGUCAGUACAGUUUACCAAGGUGUCACCUAUCACGGGUCAACACGAUUUACUAAAAUGUAAAUCGCAAACGUACAACCUAUCACGGGUCCGUACAGUUUACCAAGGUGUCACCUAUCACGGGUCAACACGAUUUACUAAAAUGUAAAUCGCAAACGUACAACCUAUCACGGGUCCGUACAGUUUACCAAGGUGUCACCUAUCACGGGUCGACACAAUUUACCAAAUGAAAUGCAUGAGCAUACACAGACUCCAUUCACAACAAUCGUUAAGCAAAUGCAGAUAUUAAAAGAUUCCCCAUUUUUAAUACCCAUUUAACUUAAACGACUUUCAAACAACAUUAAUUAAAUAAGUCAUUAAGAGAUUCCCCGUUCUUAAUACCGAUUUAUCUUAAUGAUUUUCAAAACAAAACGUUAAGCAAACAGUCAUAUUAAGAGAUUCCCCAUUCUUAAUAUACUUUUGACUUAAACGAUUUUCACACAAAAUAUUCAGUAAACGAGUCAUUAAGAGAUUCCCCAUUCUUAACACUCAUUUACCGGAACGAUUUUCAAAAACGAUCGUUAAGUAACCGGGACAUUAAGAGAUUCCCCAUUCUCAACGCCCAGUUAACUUAAACCUUUUCCUCAAAUGCACAUUAAGUAAACCGAGGUAUUAAAAGAUUCCCCAUUUUUAAUACUCGUUUAACUCUAAUGGUUUUCAAAUUCCACGGAAACAAACUCAAACAUACUCUCACAUUCAAACCAUAAUUCACAACAACCACACCAAUUAACAAACAUCAAGUAUGGACACGCCAAAUACAACGAACACAAAUCAAAGCCAACAUAACACCCAGAUACAUCAAAUUUCAUUUACCCAUAAUCAUACACAAUGACAUUCAAAUUCAUUUACCACGAAACAUUCAUCACUAUAAACAAAACCUAACUCUAAGGUUUUUACCCAUAACGCACUAGUUUCGUUUUUCCCCAAAUCGAUACAUUUAACCCUAACAAAUUCCUUCCCACACAACCACAGAUAAGUCCCUAAUGCAACUAGAAGUUUGGAAGGUGCCCUUACCUCAAUGUUAGCUUUAUCGUGCGUUUCCGGUACCGCGAGUAAUUCCGGUAAAAUCUCCGCUCGCAACGCCGCUUCCAAAUUAGUUCCCUAGCACCGUAGCGUGGUGGUGAGCAACUUUCCCUUCUAUCUCUUCGAGAAAUGAGGUUUGGAUCUAGGAGAAACGGAGGGGUUUGUGUUUGGAUCUCAAAAACCGUUUUUCUUCGUUUUCGAAUCAAAGAGGAAGAGUGGAGUUGCGAAAACCUUGAUCUAACUCUCACCCAACCUUGGGUUACUAGUUUUGAAGAAAAGAAAGCGACGAAAAUGAAAACGGGAGAAAGUAGAAAAAUAGGUCACGGUUAGAGGAAGAAGAUGGAAUUUUUCGUUUUCCUUCCUUUCUUUUUCUUUCCUUUGUUUUUCCUUUCUUCCUUUUUCCUUCCUUCCUUUUAUACUAUUUUCUUUUCCUUUUCCUUCCUUCUAGUUUUCCUUUCUUCUAGUUUUCCUUUCUUUUUCCCUCCAAACAAACAUAAAUAGAUAAUAAAUAUAACUUAACAAAUAUCUCAAAAUACCUAGACAUUUGUUAAAUUACCGUUUCACCCGAAACGCAUUAAAUUCUCCGUAAAGGAUUCACCGCACUUAAUUUAAAUUUAUUUAUCGACGAGAAAUUUUAAUUGGCAUCAAAACAUCUUUUUGAUUAUUAAACUCCAAAAUAUUAUUAACUUUGGCUUAAAAACCUCCGAGCCAAAAUCCAAAAUACACCAAAAACACAUAAAUGGUACUUUAAAAUUAUGGGUCUUACAGCCUACAUCAGGUCUAUGUCAGAUCAGGCUUUCUUUUUAAACAGAGAAGGUCAAGGCUUCUAAAAAAGCCUAUUUAAUUAAAAAGGUUUGGCUAUAGGCCACAUAAUAAACCUUUUACGCCGACCUAUUUAAAUAAAUAUAAAUAAUAUUUUUUUACCACUAUGAUUAUUAUAUUAAAUUUUGAUAUUUGUGUUAUAUAUAUUCAACUUUUAGUAAUUUACACAUAUUAACCUUAUUUAGUUUUUGGCAUAUUUAAAUGUAUUAUUAUAAAAUAUAAUUUAAGCAGGAUGUAUAUAUAGUCACAUUCUUCAAAAUGUGAUGUUAAAUAUCAAAAUAGAACUUAAUUUCAUUGACAUAUUAACUCAUUAAUCUAUUUAAAUAUAUGUUUGAUUACUUAUUCAAAAAUAUUAAAAUGAAAUAAGCAUUUAAGUAGGCUAAGAGACCAUAUCAGACUUCUAUCAAGGUCAGACUAAGGCCUAAAAAGUAAGCCUAUGACAGGACACACGCCAAGCGUAGGGCUUGAAUUUUUUGACAUGUCAGGCUUAUGCUUAGCAAAGCCUAACUCGACCCAGCCUAUUCCCACCCCUACUUGUACUAGUUCCAGUGAAGAGGCCAUAGAGCAAAAGCUUAAGCCAUUAUCCUUUCUCAUUUCAAAGUUAUUAUUUGGGAGGGGAGAAGCUCUCAACCAUGAUUCAUAUGAAAAAAUCUUUUUCUUCAAUCACUUCAAAACCUUCCCCAUCAUUUGUCACAGUUUCAUCACAGUCCCGGAGUUGGUGCCCAAUUCUCCCACAUAAAAAAAUCAGAAAUUGGGUCUGAUGUUUAGGUCUGAAGACUAGGUCUAAAGAUUGCCUCUAAAGAAUGGCUCUAAAACUGAGUCUAAAAACUGCCUCUGAAGAUUGAAUUUAAAGCAUGCCUCUAAAGCUCUUGCAUAUCUCUGAUGUACACAAACUUAGCAUAUACCUAAAGAGUUCAUAUCAAGGUAUAAUUAACUCUGAAGAUAUUAUUCAAAUCAUAAAGUCAAAGUUCACAAUCCGCUGAUCAAAAUGGUGCAACACACUCCAAAUGCUGCCUCUGAUAAGCAGCCUCUAAUGUUGCACCGACUCUGAAGUUUCAACAAGGUGAUUUUCCUAAUGUCACUAACUCUAAGUCAUGCAAUUCUACCUUUGAGUAUCUUUAUUCAAGAAACACGACAUCUAACUCAAACAAGAGAGUCAGUGCCUAUGCUGAAAAGUCAACGACUGAAAUUGAAAUAAUUAAGUAUGAAAAAAAAAAAUUAGCCGACUCCAAAACUUGUGAAUAUCCAAGAACAACCCGAAUCCAUUUCAGCUCAAAUCAAGAAAGAGUAUGAAAGAAGACUCGUGUUUUGAAAGACAAUCUAAAAUAAUAUUUGAUUUAGAUUUAUAAUUGAAGAAAAUAUUUGACCAAGUUGAAAAGAAUAUAUGAUAAAGAUUUGAAGAUGAUAUGAUUCAUAUCUUAUCAACAAAAGAUAUGAAUUAUUUACAAGAACAUUUGAUCAAGAUUUAUCACAAGAAGAUAUGAAUUAUUUAAAAGAAGAUCUGAUCAAGAUUUAUCACAAGAAGAUAUAAAUUAUUUACAGUAAUAUUUUAUCAAAAUUUAUCUACAAGAAGAUAUGAAUUAUUUACAAGAAGAUUUGAUCAAGAUUUAUCUACUAGAAGAUAUGAAUUAUUUACAAGAAGAGUUUAUCAUAAUCUACAAGAAUAUUUGAAUUAUUUACAAGAAGAUAUGAUCAAAAAUUAUUUAGAAAAAGAAACACUCAUAUAUAUUUGGCUUAAUUGCAGUUUUGGUCCCCCUAUUUUAGCUAAAUCGCGAAAGUAGUCCCUCCAUUUUGUUUCUCCCCAGUUUUGGUCCCCCAAACAGAAUUUUGGUCCAAAACUUGAUGAAAUUUCAUUUUUUUAAAGCCGUACUAUAUCAUUUAUGAUCAUAGAUAUCAUAUACAAUUGUUGCAAAUGAGAUCUUGAGGCAUGGUGUGACUUAAAUAAAUACAAAAAAAAAAUGAAAUUUCAUCAAAUUUUGGACCAAAAUUAUGUUUGAGGGACCAAAACUGGGGAGAAAUAAAAUGGGGGGACUACUUUCGCGAUUUAGCUAAAAUAGGGGGGACCAAAACUGCAAUUAAGCCUAUAUAUUUUUAUUAUUUGCAAAGAUAUGAUUCAAAUUUUGCAAAGACGGAUGAAAACCUCUAACUUAUUUUAUAAAUAGAUACACAAGGCUGAAGAACAAAAUAAGAUAACUUACGAGCACAAAAUUUACUAAGUCAUUAGAGUUCAUAAAGUUAAGAUCUAGAGAAACAUUUGCUCAAAAGAUAUAUUUUCUAAGUGUUUUCUAGUGUGAGAGUAAUUGUUACAACCAACUUGUUAGAAGCAAACAAAUUUGUUCCCAACUCUUGUAACCAUGUCUGAAUUUUGUGUUCCUCGAGAAAUUUGUAGAUUUUCAAGUUGUGAUGAGAAAAUUUGGUUUGUAGAAUCAAAGUGUUUGUUUUUCGUAGGUGACAAAUUAUUUUGAGAAUAUUGAUUUGUAGAGUCAGGUGUUGUGUAAUUCAAGUUUUGAAUUAGUGGAUUAAAUCAUGAAAGGACUAAACGUAGCUACUAAAUUGGUGGUGAAUCAGGAUAAAUUAUUGUAUCACUUUAAUUAUGUAAUUUUUGUUUUAUUUUUGUCUCUCAUCACUUAACUCAAUUGCUACUACUUUUAUUUUAAGUCACCAAACUCGAGUCAAUUUUAAAUAAAUUAACAAAAACAAUCAAACUUAGUCAAAACCAAUUCAAUUCUCUUUUCAUAUUUGCAGCUUUAGUAACCUUUGGAUCUGCUGCCUCAAAUUCUCCCAUGAUUGCCCCCAGUUUUUUUGCCAUGAACUCACUACGGAGUUUCAAGGGAAGGUCGCACACUCUUGUCCAGAAUGAGAUCGAACUCGUAUCCAUUUCAGACUACGAUGUUACGAUCAAAACUCCAUGGACCAGCCUUAAUCACAUUUUCUAAAUCUCGUAUUGAAAAAAAAACAAAAGAGAUACAGGUUCUUACCGAGUUCCUGAGUCUCUAUUAGGUUCUUAGGUCUCCAAAAUUCCACAAUCUUAGUUUUGAAAUCUCAGACAUUAUAACUGCUGUUAGUCCACAACUUUCCAACAGGGGAUCUUCUAAAGAAAUCCUCUUCCAUAUGUUCUUCAUCUUCCUCUGUAACCCCAAUCACGCCAUCUUCGAACCUAACAGCUUAAGACUCUUACGAAGACAAAAUUCAAAAUCCUGGAGAGCGCAGGGAGCUUCCAGGAUGAAACCUAGGGUAAGAUCCAAGAAAGGAAGUCUUUUUUAAUGUUGACUCUUGUUCAUUUAUAUAGCUUAUAUUUAAUUGCAAGUGAUAUCUUAAGUUUUUAGACUGUAACUAUCAUAUUGGUUAUUUGUACAUAGCUCUUUAUUUUCUAAUUUAUGGUGCCGUAUUUCAAAUUAGUAAGAAA
rnacentral:lncRNA from 1 species